AUUAAUGAUGAUUUAAACAUUCUUCACUUUGACCUGAUUUUCUUGAUGAAAAAUCUGUCUGAUA